CUUCUGUUAUGAUGAUUUAUGAAAAUAAAUUCACAUGUCAGACUUCAGAGAUUUUAAAAAAUCUAUGAGAAGAUAAUUCAUGUCCUCAGAGCAAAAA
rfam:Corchorus capsularis cultivar CVL-1 contig07481, whole genome shotgun sequence.